rnacentral:rRNA from 1 species
GAUGAACGCUGGCGGCGUGCUUAACACAUGCAAGUCGAACGGAAAGGCUCCUGCUUGCAGGGGUACUCGAGUGGCGAACGGGUGAGUAACACGUGGGUGAUCUGCCCUGCACUUCGGGAUAAGCCUGGGAAACUGGGUCUAAUACCGGAUAGGACCACAUUUUGGAUGGUGUGGUGGAAAGUUUUUCGGUGUGGGAUGAGCUCGCGGCCUAUCAGCUUGUUGGUGGGGUAAUGGCCUACCAAGGCGUCGACGGGUAGCCGGCCUGAGAGGGUGUACGGCCACAUUGGGACUGAGAGACGGCCCAGACUCCGACGGGAGGCAGCAGUGGGGAAUAUUGCACAAUGGGCGCAAGCCUGAUGCAGCGACGCCGCGUGGGGGAUGACGGCCUUCGGGGUGUAAACUCCUUUCGCUAGGGACGAAGCGUUUUUGUGACGGUACCUGGAGAAGAAGCACCGGCUAACUACGUG